AGAGUUUGAUCCUGGCUCAGGAUGAACGCUGGCGGCGUGCCUAACACAUGCAAGUCGAGCGGGUUAAUCUGACGGAAGCCUUCGGGUGGAAGAAAGUGAAACUAGCGGCGGACGGGUGAGUAACGCGUGGGCAACCUACCUUGUACAGGGGGACAACAACGGGAAACCGUUGCUAAUACCCCAUAAAACCCUAGAGGGGCAUCCCUUAUGGGUCAAAGAAUUUCGGUACAAGAUGGGCCCGCGUCUGAUUAGCUAGUUGGUGAGGUAAUGGCUCACCAAGGCGACGAUCAGUAGCCGACCUGAGAGGGUGAUCGGCCACACUGGAACUGAGACACGGUCCAGACUCCUACGGGAGGCAGCAGUGGGGAAUAUUGCACAAUGGGCGAAAGCCUGAUGCAGCAACGCCGCGUGAGCGAUGAAGGCCUUCGGGUCGUAAAGCUCUGUCCUAGGGGAAGAAUAUUGACGGUACCCUAGGAGGAAGCCCCGGCUAACUACGUGCCAGCAGCCGCGGUAAUACGUAGGGGCAAGCGUUAUCCGGAAUCACUGGGCGUAAAGGGUGCGUAGGCGGUCUUGCAAGUCAGAGGUGAAAGGCUACGGCUCAACCGUAGUAAGCCUUUGAAACUGCAAGACUUGAGUAUGGGAGAGGAAAGUGGAAUUCCUAGUGUAGCGGUGAAAUGCGUA
rnacentral:rRNA from 1 species